UUUUUUCUUAUGAUCCUUUAAAUUAAAUGUAUUGCUAUUUUUCCUAUGAUCACAUGUUUAUUUUUAGCAAGGUCGUAACUAUUGCAUUUAUUUUUACGAUAAAGUAGCCAUUACAAAGAAAGAGUAACACUUCAUAAUAAUUAAAGGAGACAAUCUCUGGUUUUAUUUAUGAAUAUAUAUAAGAGAUCGUGAUUUUGUAGAAUAUAGACUAAUAGGUUUGAGCAAUGAGCAUGAAUCACCUCACAGCUCAAUUCUUUUUUCCUUUGCUUCCCGUGCGUCCCUUCGCAGUGGAUCCCGAACCUGCGUUACCGUUUCCAGUUGCAGCAGCACCUUUGCGAUUUGCGACAGCUGCAGCGCCGCCUUGACCGGAAGAACCACUGGUAGAAGAAGCAUUGGCAUUGCGACCCUUAGCAGCGACAUCUCCGCUGGUAGCCGUGUAGCCAGUUCCAUAUGCAUCAGCGCGUGGACCUUUCGGACUCCUACUAGCACUAGCAUAGCUAAAGCCAUCACUAUAGCUUGUAGUGGUGGCAUUAACAGAAAGCUCAGCUCCAAUGCCUUUGGUAGCAGCUUUUGAGUUAGAGGUGCCUAGUUUGGUCUCUUUGGAGACUUCUUCGACCUGCCUUGCGGUGACAAUGGCACACAAAACACCAAUAACGAGAAACACAGUAAACUUUGUGGCAUUCAUCUUUUGGUUUUGUUUAUUUAUCUUUUUUUCUUCUAUUGAAUUGUGUGUUUGUGGUGAUUUGUGUUGUGUUCGUCUUCCCAAAUCGUUAUUGCUUCUAUUUAUACACACGCACACACUCGAUACCGCAUGCAUUUACUAGGAUACGUGAGCAUUUCAUACAAGUAAUAUACAUUUGCUUAAAUGCAUGCGUUAGUAAAAAUUACAACUAAUAGUCAUACAAUAUUAACACCUCUUACGAGGAUCAGUUUGCAAUUUUUAUCUAACUAACUCGAGUUGCGAUAUAUAAUCAAUGCUAUCCUAUUUAUUUCUUAUCUAUAGAAUAAUACAUUUUUGUAAAAAUAUUGUUAAAACAAAAAUAGUAUCUAAUGUACAAUACAUUUUUGCAAAAUAUUGUAAGAAAAAACUGAUUUGGCAUUUGAUUUGAUUUUUUUUUUUUUUUUUUUUUUUGUUGUUGCUAGAAGUCAAGAGUGGAGAAGCCCACCGGACGAAAUGGUACCUUCAUAAUAAAUUUAAGUUUAAUUAAUCAAAAUAUCUUUGUGAUAAAUUACACGUAACAUAGAAAAUAGUUCUCAAUUAGUAUGGGGAAGAGUGAUACAACACCAUUUUAUAUUUCUCUUAAAGUUGAAAUUUUUUCAUAUUUGUGAAUUUAAAACAUUGAACGUAAAAGUGAGCAGUUAGACUUUUAAAACAGUAAGAAACAAAUAAAUUGCAACUAUGAAUGGCGAAAUUGUGGCUUUUAAAAUUAAUCGAAAUUAGGUAAUAAACUAGUAUCAAAAUACUCUGGACAUGUAAGUGUAUUUUAUUUAUUAGGGUAAUGCUUUUCAAUGCAUUAUAUGAUUUUUUUGACGCAUAACUGAUAGUCUUACCACGAUGUCGAAUUAUUAAGUACCAAUCUAAGCACCUUCUUCUUGUGAACGUAACAUAAACAUGACAGUUUUUUUUUAAACAAUAGGGUUUUAAAAAGCUUGUUAUUUACGUCGUAAAUAUCAAAUGUUUAAUAAGCUAUAUAUAUCCAAAGUAAUGUCAAUGUCUUAUAUAAGAUAUUUUCUUUGCAAAAACCGGGAUAUCUUAACCCUUUAAGAUAUUCCCAAUAAUGUUACCCUUAUAUAACCAAGCAAUGUUAUAUUUUUGUUUCCUGUUAUCAUCUUUCCACACUUUUACCCCAAUAUCUAUUGGUUAUUAAGUGUAUUAGUGUAUAUACUUGUAGACGUGUAAUAUAUAUACUUGGAUCUUUUAAUCUUAUGUGUUGCAUAUAUCAUGAAAAAAAAAAAACAUUGUUUGAGAUAACGUUAUUUUUGGUCUAAAACAAUGGAUCGAUCUCAGGUUAACACAGUACUCAUCGACGCUUUAUAUUCAGUGAUACGUUUUUUUACGUAUUAUAUAAUAUGCUUUCGACAUUAUGAGUUAUAAAAUAAUUUGUUCACUUAGAAAUUAAAAACUUAAUUUUUAAUAUGGUCUUUUAGGCCUCUAGAUGUGUUGGCACGGCACUAUAUAUGUAUGUGUAUACAUAACUAGUUAUAGAAGAUUAAUAUAAAGUCGUAACUCGUAACCAUGGCCUUUACUUUAUUUAUAAAAUAGGCAUUACAACACAUAAAGAGUAGCACUUCAUGAAAAUUAAAGGUGACAGACAAUCUCAGGUUUUAUUUAUGAAUACAAGAGAGAUUGUGAUUUUGUAGAACAUAUAUAUAUAUAUAUAUAUAUAUAUAUAUAUAUGAAUAGUUUUGAGAAAUGAGCAUGAGCACCUCACAGCUUUCUCCCUUUCUUGCUGCCCGUGCUGCCCUUGGCAGUGGAGGCCGAGCCAGCUGAACCGUUUCCACGUGCAGCAGCACCAUUGCGAUUCACGGCACCUGCUGCAUUGCCUUGAGCUGAAGAACCACUGGUAGAAGAAGCCUUGGCAUUGCGACCCUUAGCAGAGACAGCUCCGCUGGUACCCGUGUUGCCACUUCCGCUGGCUGUGGCGGUUGGACCUUUGGGACUCCUACUAACACUAACAAAGCCAUAGCCCGUAGAGUAGCUUGUAGUUCCGGCAUCGACAGAAAGCUCAGCUCCAAUGCCUUUGGUAGCAGUUUUGGAAAUAGAGGUGCCUAGUUUGGUCUCUUUGGAGACCACCCUUGCGCUGACAUUAACAAACAAAACGCCAAUCACGAGAAGCAUAGCAAACUUUGUGGCAUUCAUCUUUUGGUCUUGUUUAUCUUUCUUAGUUUAAGUUGUGUGUUUGUGGUGAUGAGUUGUGUUGUGUUCUUCUUCCCAAAAUCAUAGCCUCUAUUUAUACACACACAUUCGAUACGUAUGCAUUAAUUAGGAUACGUGUGCAUUUCUUACAAGAAAUAUACAAAUGCUUAAAUGCGUUAGUCAAAUUACAACUAAUAGUCAUACCUAUAUGUCAACAUGAAUCUUCAUACCUCUUGGCAAGAUCAAUUGCAAUUUUAUCUGACUAGCUACGACGCUAUUACUACUGAUAUCAAUAUACUAAAUAUCUCCUAUAAUAAAAGGAAUAAAUUAUAAUUUGACAUAAUGAAAUAAUCUAUAUAGGAAUUACCUAGUUUAUUUAAUCUAAAAUUUGACCUCCUAAAAAACAUGACGAGAUCUAAAAAAUUUUACUUCCUAAAUCUCUAUUCUAAGCCAAAUCUCAUUAUCAAAACCAAAAUAUUCAAGUUUAAAGUGCGGUCUCGCAAAGAAAUUAUCAGUCGCUCUCCAUCUGGUUGGUUACAAAAGGCAUUACUGUUUAUGCAAAAUCUAUCUAAUUAAGAAAGAGAACAAUUCAUGCAUACAAAGUUAAUUAUGAUUGUUCCACCAAAUCUAUCACCGUGAAUUCUAAGCUUCUACUUUGUAUAAAAGUUCUUUCCUCUUUUAUUUUCAAACCAAAAAGCCAUGCAUGUUUUUGGUUUGUGGACACUUUUGGUCUUUUAAUCAACAAACGUUAUGUUCAAUCUUCGUUUUGUGGUCACUUAGAGGCUUUUAUACUUUCUUAGCCUUCUUCUUUUAUUUAUUUUUGUUCCAUAUACUUGAACUUAAAGAAAACUAACACAUUGAUUUUGUUUUUAGCUUUAGACUUAAUUAGAGCACUUCCUUUUUCAUAUCAAUCCAGAAUCCUUAGUAACAUAAAAUAUAAUUAUCCAACCUUUCUUUUCCAACUUAGAUGCUAGCCUUUGUGAUUCUAAUAACUUGCCUCAAUGAGAUCUAACCUUUUUCGUUUCCGAUACUCUUGAGAUUUUCCACAUGUUAGCAAUAUAAAAAAAAGUCUCCACUCAAACGAAUGAUCAAGAGUCGAAAGAAUGCUCAAAAUAUAGGUUAAGAGAAACAUUUUAAAAAUUGGAAAAUGGCCAUUAAGGAUAACAAAAGUUGGCAAAUUCGCAAAGAAAACCCCGAAUGUGUCUUCUUUUUUUAUUUUUUUUGGUCACCGUGUCUUUAGCUAAGCAUAAUACAGUAUACACAUUUGAUCCAAACGGAAGAAUCAGAUUCAUUAAAAGUCCAAAUUCAUAAAGAUACUUUGAAGUUCAUGUGAGUUUCAAAAAAGUAGAAUUUUUCGAAAGAUGCAAAGGUUGAAAACAUGGGUUUUCCAUUUGUCUCAAAGAUGCUUAUAAAAUAUCAGUUAAAUGAAAUAGUGUAUAUUAAUAUUUCUUUAUUCAGUUUGUGUUGUAAUCAAGUUGUUUAUCCUAUUAUCUGCAUGGAAGUUAAGUAUCUAAUUUGGCAUUCUUGAAUCGAAAUAUUAAAUACGAGUUUAAAUAUUUUGAUCUUAAUCGUAACUUUGAACUUUCUGCAAGGUAAUUAGAUGUAAAUGAAAAUGAAAAAUGCAACCUAACAUGAAAUUAUACUUAAACGUAGCAUAUGACUCAAAUAUAUGCAAAAUAGAAAUUAAGAACACAAAAGUUAAAAGACUAUAAUCCAUUCCCCCUGACUUGAAUUACAUUGUCUUAGUGUAAUUAACAAAGGUUAAAGAAAAGCAUGUUAAGAUAGCUAGUACCAUAUUUGCUUAUUGAUUCAAAUUUCAGAAUAAGAGUCAUAUAAAGUAGUAACUAUGGCAUUUAUUUUAUUUAUUAAAUAGGCAUUACAGCACAUAAAUAGUAGCAUUUCAUGGUAUUUAAAGGUGACAGACAAUCUCAGGUUUUAUUUAUGAAUACAAAGAGAGAUUCUGAUUUUGUAGAACAUAUAUAUAUUAAUAGGUUUGAGCAAUGAGCAUGAUCACCUCACAGCUCAAUACUUUCUUCCUUUGCUGCCCGUGCGGCCAUUCGCAGUGGAUGCCGAACUUGCGGAACCGUCUC
rnacentral:lncRNA from 1 species